AUAUUUAGCUAUACUGGGCUAGGGCAUGCCCUAUGUCUCACUAUCUCCACUUUCCACUCUCCUUUUCAGACUCUCCACUCCCUCCAACCAAACCGAGCGGCCACGUCGAGCAACGUCGAUGCCUACACCGAGCAGCAAUGCUAACAAUGCCUACCUCUUUUGAUCUCUGUCUUGCUAGAUCUGCCCACGUUCGUUGUUUGCCGCCGCUUUGUUGGAUCUGCCCAUGCUCAUUGCCAUUUUCCACCACUUUGCUGGAUCUACUACCCUUCCAAAUCUGCAGGUAGUGAGACCAUAUGGGUGGGUGAUGGCAAUGUACUUCCAAUCGAAAACUCUGGUGAUACCUCACUCUCCUGCAACUCCUCUACAUUUCUUCUCAAGAAUAUUCUGACAAGGCAACCGGGAAAAUCCUCCUCACUGGUCCAACCCGUGAUGGUCUCUACCAUUUCCAUCAGCUACAACCAUUUCGUCAUCUCCAUCAACCCAUAUUGGUGAACGAACCUCCAUGGAUCAAUGGCAUCGAAGGCUUGGUCAUCCUUCUUUAACCUUGGUCUCCCAAGUCCUGCGAUCCAAGAACCUCCCAUUAUCUCCCACUGAUUAUGUGUUUCAAUGUUCCGAAUGUUCAUUAGUUUCCUUUUUCCUCAAAAUAGGUCCAUUAUACCAUGCCUUUACAAUUGUUAUGUGCUAAUUUAUGGGGUCCAGCUCACUAUGUCUCACGAAAUGGCUAUAAAUAUUAUCUUUUAUUUGUGGACUCCUUUA